rnacentral:misc_RNA from 1 species
UCCGGUUUGGCACCGGCAGUCCUCCCAGAGUCCCCGACUUGACUCGCUGGCAACUGGGAGCGGGGGUUGCGCUCGUUGCGGGACUUAACCCAACAUCUCACGACACGAGCUGACGACAGCCAUGCACCACCUGUGAUCCUGCCCACAAGGGGAAGCCGUGUUUCCACGGCGGUCAGGAACAUGUCAAACCCAGGUAAGGUUCUUCGCGUUGCGUCGAAUUAAACCACAUGCUCCACCGCUUGUGCAGGCCCCCGUCAAUUUCUUUGAGUUUUAGCCUUGCGGCCGUACUCCCCAGGCGGGAUGCUUAAAGCGUUAGUUACGGCACAGAGGGGGUCGACACCCCCCACACCUAGCAUCCACCGUUUAGGGCGUGGACUAC